rnacentral:tRNA from 1 species
GAGGGUAGAGCUCAGUGGUAGAGCACAUGCUUGGCAUGCAUGAGGUCUUGGGUUCAAUCCCCAGUGCCUCUU